GACGAACGCUGGCGGCGUGCCUAAUACAUGCAAGUAGAACGCUGAAGGAGGAGCUUGCUUCUCUGGAUGAGUUGCGAACGGGUGAGUAACGCGUAGGUAACCUGCCUGGUAGCGGGGGAUAACUAUUGGAAACGAUAGCUAAUACCGCAUAAUAGCAGUUAUUGCAUGAUAACUGUUUGAAAGGUGCAAUUGCACCACUACCAGAUGGACCUGCGUUGUAUUAGCUAGUUGGUGGGGUAACGGCUCACCAAGGCGACGAUACAUAGCCGACCUGAGAGGGUGAUCGGCCACACUGGGACUGAGACACGGCCCAGACUCCUACGGGAGGCAGCAGUAGGGAAUCUUCGGCAAUGGACGGAAGUCUGACCGAGCAACGCCGCGUGAGUGAAGAAGGUUUUCGGAUCGUAAAGCUCUGUUGUAAGAGAAGAACGAGUGUGAGAGUGGAAAGUUCACACUGUGACG
rnacentral:rRNA from 1 species